UGUCUAUCUGUCUCUCUCUCUAACCUGUCUAUCUCUCUAACCUGUCUCUCUCUUUGACAGGUCUGUGUCUCUCUAUAACCUGUUUCUCUCUCUUACCUGUCUCUCUCUUUAACAGGUCUAUGAUUCUCUCUCUGAACUGUCUCUCUCUCUUACCUGUCUAUUUCUUUGACAGGUCUAAAGUGUGUCUCUCUAACCCAGCGGUUUUCAAUAGGUGAGGCGCGCCUCCCCUGGGGGGCGCCAAAGAGCCACAGGG